rnacentral:rRNA from 1 species
UACGGAGGGUGCGAGCGUUGUCCGGAAUCAUUGGGCGUAAAGGGCGCGUAGGUGGCCCGGUCCGUCCGUGGUGAAAGCGCGGGGCUCAACCCCGCGUCGGCCAUGGAUACUGCUGGGCUGGAGCACUGUAGAGGCAGGCGGAAUUCCGGGUGUAGCGGUGGAAUGCGUAGAGAUCCGGAAGAACACCGGUGGCGAAGGCGGCCUGCUGGGCAGUUGCUGACACUGAGGCGCGACAGCGUGGGGAGCAAACAGG